rnacentral:rRNA from 1 species
GACGAACGCUGGCGGCGUGCCUAAUACAUGCAAGUAGAACGCAGUUGCGAACGGGUGAGUAACGCGUAGGUAACUGCCUCAUAGCGGGGGAUAACUAUUGGAAACGAUAGCUAAUACCGCAUACUGUGUGAUGGACCUGCGUUGUAUUAGGUAGUUGGUGAGGUAAAGGCUCACCAAGGCGACGAUACAUAGCCGACCUGAGAGGGUGAUCGGGCACACUGGGACUGGGAAACGGCCCAGACUCCUUCGGGAGGGAGCAGGAGGGAAACUUCGGAAAUGGAGGGAAGUCUUACCGAGGCACGCCGCGUGAGGGAAGAAAGUUUUCGGAUCGUAAAGCUCUGUUGUGAGAGAAGCGUUAACCAACCAGAAAGCGACGGCUAACUACGUGCCAGCCGCCGCGGUAAUAC